ACCCUGCUUCCAGGAAAAGCCACUAAGCUUCAGCUACACACGACCGUACCGCAAACCGACACUGGUGCGCGAGAUGAGUAUUCUAAGGCGCUUGAGAGAACUCAGGAGAAGGAACUCGGCAAAUUGACACCGUAACUUCGGAAGAAGGUGUGCCUUAAGUAGGUGAGCUUGUACAAAGUGAGCCCAAAGAGGUUGCAAAAAAUAGGUGGCUGCGACUGUUUAUUAAAAACACAGCACUCUGCAAACACGAAAGUGGACGUAUAGGGUGUGACGCCUGCCCGGUGCUGGAAGAUUAAAUGAUGGGGUGCAAGCUCUUGAUUGAAGUCCCAGUAAACGGCGGCCGUAACUAUAACGGUCCUAAGGUAGCGAAAUUCCUUGUCGGGUAAGUUCCGACCUGCACGAAUGGCGUAACGAUGGCCACACUGUCUCCUCCUGAGACUCAGCGAAGUUGAAAUGUUUGUGAUGAUGCAAUCUCCCCGCGGAAAGACGGAAAGACCCCAUGAACCUUUACUGUAGCUUUGUAUUGGACUUUGAACAGAUCUGUGUAGGAUAGGUGGGAGGCUUUGAAGCAGGGUCGCUAGAUCUUGUGGAGCCAACGUUGAAAUACCACCCAGGUGUGUUUGAGGUUCUAACCUAGGUCCAUUAUCUGGAUCGGGGACAGUGCAUGGUAGGCAGUUUGACUGGGGCGGUCUCCUCCCAAAGCGUAACGGAGGAGUUCGAAGGUACGCUAGUUACGGUCGGACAUCGUGACGAUAGUGCAAUGGCAUAAGCGUGCUUAACUGCGAGACUGACAAGUCGAGUAGAUGCGAAAGCAGGACAUAGUGAUCCGGUGGUUCUGUAUGGAAGGGCCAUCGCUCAACGGAUAAAAGGUACUCUGGGGAUAACAGGCUGAUACCGCCCAAGAGUUCAUAUCGACGGCGGUGUUUGGCACCUCGAUGUCGGCUCAUCUCAUCCUGGGGCUGUAGCCGGUCCCAAGGGUAUGGCUGUUCGCCAUUUAAAGAGGUACGUGAGCUGGGUUUAAAACGUCGUGAGACAGUUUGGUCCCUAUCUUCCGUGGGCGCUGCAGAUUUGAGGAAGCCUGCUCCUAGUACGAGAGGACCGGAGUGGACACACCUCUGGUGUAUCGGUUGUCACGCCAGUGUCAUUGCCGAGUAGCUAUGUGUGGAAGAGAUAAACGCUGAAAGCAUCUAAGCGUGAAACUCGUUUCAAGAUGAGAUCUGCCGGGGCCUUGAGCCCCCUGAAGAGUCGUUCAAGACCAGGACGUUGAUAGGUCAGGUGUGGAAGCGCAGUAAUGCGUUAAGCUAACUGAUACUAAUUGCUCGUGUGGCUUGACUC
rnacentral:rRNA from 1 species